rnacentral:rRNA from 1 species
GAUGAACGCUAGCGGCAGGCUUAAUACAUGCAAGUCGAGGGGCAGCAGGUCCCGCAGCAAUGCGGGAUGCUGGCGACCGGCAAACGGGUGCGGAACACGUACAGAACCUUCCUUUAAAUGGGGAAUAGCCCGGGGAAACCCGGAUUAAUACCCCGUAACAUAAUGAAGUGGCAUCACUUUAUUAUUAUAGCAGCAAUGCGCUUGAAGAUGGCUGUGCGGCUGAGUAGGUAGUUGGCGGGGUAACGGCCCACCAAGCCUACGAUCAGUAACUGGUGUGAGAGCACGACCAGUCACACGGGCACUGAGACACGGGCCCGACUCCUACGGGAGGCAGCAGUAAGGAAUAUUGGGCAAUGGACGCAAGUCUGACCCAGCCAUGCCGCGUGGAGGAUGAAGGUCCUCUGGAUUGUAAACUUCUUUUAUCUGGGAAGAAAUCUAUUUUUUCUAAAGUAGUUGACGGUACCAGAUGAAUAAGCACCGGCUAACUCCGUGCCAGCCGCCGCGGUAA